rnacentral:rRNA from 1 species
UGGCGACCGGCGCACGGGUGAGUAACACGUAUGAAACCUGCCCGUAGCAGGGGGAUAAGCGGAAGAAAUUCCGUCUAAUACCGCGUAACAACCCGAGGAGGCAUCUCCUCGGGUUUAAAGGAAGCGAUUCCGGCUACGGAUGGUCAUGCGUCGCAUUAGCUAGUUGGCGGGGUAACGGCCCACCAAGGCGACGAUGCGUAGGGGUUCUGAGAGGAAGGUCCCCCACACUGGUACUGAGACACGGACCAGACUCCUACGGAAGGCAGCAG